CAGCCGCCGCGGGAAAACGGAGGGUGCAAGCGUUAAUCGGAAUUACUGGGCGUAAAGCGCACGCAGGCGGUCUGACAAGUCAGAUGUGAAAUCCCCGGGCUUAACCUGGGAACUGCAUUUGAAACUGUCAGGCUGGAGUCUUGUAGAGGGGGGUGGAAUUCCAGGUGUAGCGGUGAAAUGCGUAGAGAUCUGGAGGAAUACCGGUGGCGAAGGCGGCCCCCUGGACAAAGACUGACGCUCAGGUGCGAAAGCGUGGGGAGCAAACAGGAUUAGAGACCCCUGUAGUCCCUGUCUCUUAUAC
rnacentral:rRNA from 1 species